GGACCCGCGGUGCAUUAGCUAGUUGGUGAGGUAACGGCUCACCAAGGCCACGAUGCAUAUCCGACCUGAGAGGGUGAUCGGCCACAUUGGGACUGAGACACGGCCCAAACUCCUACGGGAGGCAGCACUAUGGAAUCUUCUGCAAUGGACAAAAGUCUGACCGAGCAACGCCCCGUGAGUGAAGAAAGUUUUCGGAUCUUAAAACUCUGUUGUUAUAGAAGAACAAGGAUGAGAGUAACUGUUCAUCCCUUGACGGUAUCUAACCACAAAACCA
rnacentral:rRNA from 1 species